AACGCACGAGACCUGCGGACCUGCGGAGGGAUCAUUACCGAAUGGUCUCCUUGGCCUUCAAACCCUCAAACCCGUGGAAGAGAAAAUGUGCUUCGGCGCCUUCGGGCGCCGCCCUCAAUGCAUAUGCCAGUCUUGUGUCUGAAAUUAAAAAUGAAGAUUAAAACUUUUAGCAAUGGAUCUCU
rnacentral:misc_RNA from 1 species